CAAAAUGUAGCUUAACAAAAGCCCCUCGCUUACAUCUAGGAAAUAUCUGUUAAACCCGGAUCAUUUUGA
rnacentral:tRNA from 1 species